AGAGUUUGAUCCUGGCUCAGGACGAACGCUGGCGGCGUGCCUAAUACAUGCAAGUCGAGCGGAUCUUCUCCUUCGGGGGAAGGUUAGCGGCGGACGGGUGAGUAACACGUAGGCAACCUGCCCAUAAGACCGGGAUAACAUUCGGAAACGGAUGCUAAGACCGGAUACGCAAAGCUCUCGCAUGAGGGCUUUGGGAAACA
rnacentral:rRNA from 1 species